rnacentral:rRNA from 1 species
AGUGAACGCUGGCGGUAGGCCUAACACAUGCAAGUCGAACGGCAGCACAGUAAGAGCUUGCUCUUACGGGUGGCGAGUGGCGGACGGGUGAGGAAUACAUCGGAAUCUACUUUUUCGUGGGGGAUAACGUAGGGAAACUUACGCUAAUACCGCAUACGACCUACGGGUGAAAGCAGGGGAUCUUCUGACCUUGCGCGGUUGAAUGAGCCGAUGUCGGAUUAGCUAGUUGGCGGGGUAAAGGCCCACCAAGGCGACGAUCCGUAGCUGGUCUGAGAGGAUGAUCAGCCACCCUGGAACUGAGCCACGGUCCAGACUCCUACGGGAGGCCGCAGUGGGGAAUAUUGGACAAUGGGCGCAAGCCUGAUACAGCCAUACCGCGUGGGUGACGAAGGCCUUCGGGUUGUAAAGCCCUUUUGUUGGGAAAGAACAGCAGCAGGUUAAUACCCCGCUGUUCUGACGGUACCCAAAGAAUAAGCACCGGCUAACUUCGUG